rnacentral:rRNA from 1 species
AGAGUUUGAUCCUGGCUCAGAACGAACGCUGGCGGCGUGGAUAAGACAUGCAAGUCGAACGGGGCUUGGUAGCAAUACUGAGUUCAGUGGCGGACGGGUGCGUAACACGUGAACAAUCUGCCCGGAAGAGGGGGAUAGCCCAGGGAAACUUGGAUUAAUACCCCGUGUGAUACAGGUGGGCAUCCAUCUGACAUCGAAGGUGCUCAAAAGGUGCCGCUUCCGGAUGAGUUCGCGUCCUAUCAGCUAGUUGGCGGGGUAACGGCCCACCAAGGCAAUGACGGGUAGCUGGUCUGAGAGGAUGACCAGCCACACUGGAACUGAGACACGGUCCAGACACCUACGGGUGGCAGCAGUCGAGAAUCAUUCACAAUGGGCGAAAGCCUGAUGGUGUGACGCCGCGUGGAGGAUGAAGGUCUUCGGAUUGUAAACUCCUGUCAUGUGGGAGUAAAGCCGGGCGUUAACUGCGUGCCGGUCUGAGAGUACCACAAGAGGAAGAGACGGCUAACUCUGUGCCAGCAGCCGCGGUAAUACAGAGGUCUCAAGCGUUGUUCGGAAUCACUGGGCGUAAAGGGUGCGUAGGCCGCACGGUAAGUCAGAGGUGAAAUCCCGGAGCUCAACUUCGGAAUUGCCUCCGAUACUGCCGUGCUUGAGGACUGGAGAGGAGAUUGGAAUUCACAGUGGAGCAGUGAAAUGCGUAGAUAUUGUGAGGAACACUAGUGGCGAAGGCGAAUCUCUGGACAGUUCCUGACGCUGAGGCACGAAGGCCAGGGGAGCAAACGGGAUUAGAUACCCCAGUAGUCCUGGCAGUAAACGGUGCACGCUUGGUGUGGCAGGAAUCGACCCCUGCCGUGCCGGAGCUAACGCGUUAAGCGUGCCGCCUGGGAAGUACGGUCGCAAGAUUAAAACUCAAAGAAAUUGACGGGGACCCGCACAAGCGGUGGAGUAUGUGGCUUAAUUCGAUGCAACGCGAAGAACCUUACCUGGGCUUGACAUGCAUUUUGUCGGCGGUGAAAGCCGUCUAGUGUAGCAAUACACGGGAUGCACAGGUGUUGCAUGGCUGUCGUCAGCUCGUGUCGUGAGAUGUUGGGUUAAGUCCCGCAACGAGCGCAACCCCCGUGUCCUGUUGCCAGCGCGUAAUGGCGGGAACUCUGGACAGACUGCCUAGUUUAACUGGGAGGAAGGUGGGGAUGACGUCAAGUCAGUAUGGCCCUUACGCCCAGGGCUGCACACGUACUACAAUGCCCGGUACAAUGUGAACCGAUACCGCGAGGUGGAGGAAAUCGUUAAAACCGGGCCCAGUUCGGAUUGGAGGCUGCAACUCGCCUCCAUGAAGCCGGAAUCGCUAGUAAUGGCGCAUCAGCUACGGCGCCGUGAAUACGUUCCCGGGUCUUGUACACACCGCCCGUCACAUCAUGGAAGCCGGUCGCGCUCGAAGUACCCGCGCCAACCUUACGGAGGCAGGGUCCUAAAGCAUGACUGGUGACUGGGAUGAAGUCGUAACAAGGUAGCCGUAGGGGAACCUGCGGCUGGAUCACCUCCUU